UGUCACCACAGUAUCUGAAUAUCUUCCAUCAAAAUGUUCACAUAUGUGCAUAUUCUCGGUCAUGAGUACAACCUCAGUUCCAUGUUCCCGAGAUUCUUGUGGACUAUAUAGAGAAUGAGAGUGACUGAAACUGCUCACAGUUGACUAUCAGCUGCACUGGCUAUACUUGUGAUCAGCCUUAUUCUGAAAGGGUGCAGCAGCUCCUGUAUUUCCAGCA